GACGAACGCUGGCGGCGUGCCUAAUACAUGCAAGUCGAACGAACCGCGACUAGGUGCUUGCACUUGGUCAAGGUGAGUGGCGAACGGGUGAGUAACACGUGGGUAACCUACCUCAUAGUGGGGGAUAACAGUCGGAAACGACUGCUAAUACCGCAUAGGACAUAGGAGCACAGGAUCCAGUGAGGAAAGGUGGCGCAAGCUAUCGCGAAGAGAUGGACCCGCGGUGCAUUAGCUAGUUGGUAGGGGAAAGGCCUACCAAGGCGAUGAUGCAUAGCCGACCUGAGAGGGUGAUCGGCCACAUUGGGACUGAGACACGGCCCAAACUCCUACGGUAGGCAGCAGUAGGGAAUCUUCCGCAAUGGACGCAAGUCUGACGGAGCAACGCCGCGUGAGUGAAGAAGGUCUUCGGAUCGUAAAGCUCUGUUGUUAGAGAAGAACAGCGCAUAGAUUAACUGUUAUGCGUGUGACGGUAUCUAACCAGAAAGCCACGGCUAACUACGUG
rnacentral:rRNA from 1 species